rnacentral:rRNA from 1 species
AUUGAACGCUGGCGGCAGGCCUAACACAUGCCAGUCGAACGGUAACAGGAAACAGCUUGCUGUUUCGCUGACGAGUGGCGGACGGGUGAGUAAUGUCUGGGAAACUGCCUGAUGGAGGGGGAUAACUACUGGAAACGGUAGCUAAUACCGCAUAACGUCGCAAGACCAAAGAGGGGGACCUUCGGGCCUCUUGCCAUCGGAUGUGCCCAGAUGGGAUUAGCUAGUAGGUGGGGUAACGGCUCACCUAGGCGACGAUCCCUAGCUGGUCUGAGAGGAUGACCAGCCACACUGGAACUGAGACACGGUCCAGACUCCUACGGGAGGCAGCAGUGGGGAAUAUUGGACAAUGGGCGCAAGCCUGAUGCAGCCAUGCCGCGUGUAUGAAGAAGGCCUUCGGGUUGUAAAGUACUUUCAGCGGGGAUGAAGGGAGUAAAGUUAAUACCUUUGCUCAUUGACGUUACCCGCAGAAGAAGCACCGGCUAACUCCGUG